GCACCUGUAGCUCAGUUGGAUAGAGCACAUGCCUCCGACGCAUGGUGUCGGACGUUCGAGUCGUCUCAGGUGCGCCA
rnacentral:tRNA from 1 species